GAGGCGGCUCGGCAACGGGCACCGCUUGCCUUCAGCGCCAUUGACACUAUACGGCAGCCAUCUUUGAUGUGGGCAAAGCACUCCGCCGCACACUGAGCCGUCCUUCCCCUGCGAGACAGCCUAGGCCUGAGGCCGCGGCGGCCGGGCUUGGUUUCCAUGAUGGUGGCCGCCCGGCCGAGGCGACGGCUCCUGCUGUUGAGGAGGCGUCAAGCAGCAGCGGCAGCCCGGUUGCUGGGCAUCCUCUGGCUGGCGUGUGUCGCCGCGGAGGGCGUUGCCGGCGGGGAGCCUCCGCUCAAGUGCGACGAGCUGAGGCUGGGGCAAUAUAUUUGUGAAGAUCCCAAAAUAGACAAUAGCACACAAGAACCACUGAAUUGUACAAAUCACACAGCAUACGUUCCAUGUCAUCCAGCACCAAAUAUUACUUGUAAGGAUCACAGUGGCAAUGAAAACAACUUUACUGGAAAGGAAGUUGGAUUUUACAAACCUAUUGCAUGUCGUAAUGUAAAUGGUUACUCAUACAAAGUGGCAGUGGCUCUGUCUUUAUUUCUUGGAUGGUUGGGAGCAGAUAGAUUUUAUCUUGGGUAUCCUGCCUUAGGUUUGUUAAAGUUCUGCACUGUAGGGUUUUGUGGAAUUGGUAGCCUAAUUGAUUUCAUUCUCAUUUCAAUGCAGAUUGUUGGACCUUCCGAUGGCUCUAGUUACAUUAUAGAUUACUAUGGAGCAAGGCUUACCAGGCUGAGUAUUACCAAUGAGACAUUCAGAAAAACACAGAUGUAUCCUUAAGUCUGGCAGGAAGUAUCAUGUAUACACAGGUUUUCUAUCUACGCAUGCAUCACUGCAGUAUUGAAGUGUAGUGUAGUACCUAGUCAAAGGAGUCACUUUGGGGCACAUUGCAUUGGUUUGUACAGUGAGAAGCUUCAUUUAGCCCAUUUCUGGAUCCACUGCCCUUCCUGUUGCUUCUGCUGCAAUUUCUAUCACUGUUCUAUACACACAAUGAUGUUGGGAACAUUACAGUUGUGUGCUUAAACAUUCAAUUGGGGAAAUGUCAAAGAUAAGGUUGCACAGGCAAUGAGACCUCUUUCAAACCCCUUGCAUUUACUGAGAGGAAGACAUACGGAAAACAUGUAAUGGGAAGCCACUGUCUGCUAAGGACCUGACUGAUACCAACGUCUGUGUGACUGACUGUCCCUGCAUAGUCUGAAGAGAGCAGGACUACCCCACUGUAUGACAAUAGCAGAAGCCGGGGAAAGGAGGAAUCUUUAUCUUUUAGGGCUGUCAUUUCAUGAUCUCAUCCAUUGUAGCCCUAUUAAGAGGAUGAUGUGCACCACUUUUCAGUUAUUUUGUUAAAUAAGCAUGAGCAAUGAACAUCAUGCUAACAGACAAUUCCUAGUAUCUAAUACAGUAUCUUGAAUUUAAAAGCAUGUGGUAAUGUAAGUGUAUAUCUGGGAAGUAUGGGGGCUGGGAUGAAAAGUGACUGACUUGACAUUCGCUGUCUUUCUCCCAGCUCCUUUGCAAAAGUAGGAACAGAAUCAGAAUAAAAAAUGUUUGUUUUACAGCUGUACCAAGUUACAGCACACUCUCUCUCCUCCUUCCCACUUGCAUCAAGUACAUCCUGUACUUUUGGCAACAUGUUGACUGGAUAUUUAAAAGCUGUGAACUGUUCUGAAAGUUUCACAUACAGGGUUAUGAGCCAUGUGUGUUUGAUCAAAAUUCAAUUACUGCACUGUACCAUGCUUGGAAACCUAUCAUCCCAGGUUAUGAAGUAUGACGAAAUAGGCUAAUCUAAUUGGUUCAGUAUGGGAGCAGUAUCAACCAAGCUUGUUAUGAUAAAUAGCUUCCUGUGUUAAAGGUUCUCUAGAGCUUAAGUAUCUUGGCUCACCUCCUUCCACAAAAUAAGAAUAUUGUUCCCUGAGAACAGUUACAUCACUGUCCCUCUUCUACAAUCAGAAUUAAGGGGUUGUAGAAUUUUUCAUUUUGCUACUCCUUGAAAAUAUAAACAAUGGAUGGAUAUCUGCCCCAUUUCCCACCUCCCCACUUCUACCUCUUCUCCCCUCAAUGCCUUCUCCCCUCCUCCAGCCAAGACUAGAUCAUCUUGCACUCACCCUUGUUGUUGGAUCUGUUUUACUACUGUUUGAGACAAUCCCAAAGAGGGCAUUAAACUUGCCAUAGGCUGGAGUUUGGGGGUUGUAUGGUUUUCUAUUUGGGGGAGUAGAGUUAAAUGGUGAAGCAUAUUAGUAUUUUCAAGCAUCUAAUAAAACUGCCUUGUCACAGUGAACUGUAUAUCUGUGGAAAUGUUGCUAUCCACUUGGAAUUUUUAUUUUUGUAGUACCAGUAGUUUAAGUCCAUUGUGCAAGUGCUGAAAUAAGAGUAGAGAUGGGCUAGUGUUCUAAGCUGGGAUUUAUGAUUGCUAAAUGUGUCCCUGAAACAAUGAGCUCAGUCCCAUGAGAAGGCACUAGCUCCAUGGUUUUAGCAGGCCCAUCUUUGGCAAUAACUGAUUGUCUGUGAUCCUGAUGUCAGAGUAAUAGACUGUGGCAAGGGAUAGAACAUGGAAAAAUGGAUCUUUAUGCUCCCUGGCCACAUGUGCGUUAUCAUGCACAGGGUGACGAUUUGAGUGAGAUUACAACUACUCAUACUCUCAAAUCCCCUUAGGACAAAAUGAUUGUCUGGUUGCUAUUUUAGCUAAAGCAGAAUAUGGUCCGGAUCUUUUUAAACACUGUUAAUAUUAGUGGGACUACUCCCAUGAGUAAAGUUAUUCACAUGCAUAAGUGUUGGUAGGAUCAGACCCUACGUGAGCGAGUCUUGGUGUUUUCCCCAAGAGUGCUUAAAACCUGAUUAAAUCUGUAUGGUGAUUAAUGUCCACUUACCACCUCUCUCAUACCCCAUUGCAAUUUGGUUUUAAGCCUUGAUCUCAUUUUAGUUCACCAUUUAAAUGUCCUGCUUAACCUUCUGCUUACAAAUGUACAUAAUGCUGAAGUCUGCAUUUCCAGCGUGUAUGAGAUCUUCUGCAAAUAAUGGCAUUUAAUGAUAAAAAGCAACAACUUUAGUCACCAGAAGAUCGGCUGAUGACUAAGUCCAGCAGUACAAAAUUGGGGAGUGCAGAAUUCACCACAACAGACAAAUAUUCAUGUCCACACAAGAUAAUAAAUAUGCCUUUCCUAUGCUCCUUAGCACUUUGAAACCCAGAUUGGACCAAUUCUUUAUUUUACAGUGUUUGUUUUCAUUAUUUUUCUUUAAAAAUGCAAUUAGUUUAAAAAUUGAGAUUCAGUAUAAUUCUCCUCAAAUAUCUCAGAUGAGAGUAAUCCAUUUUAUCUUCAUAAAGUUCCCACAAGAAAUGCUCACAGAGACAGUAGCUUUAACUUCAAAAAUAGAAUGUGACUGUAGGCACUUAUGCUAAUCUCUUUUUUGGCAAAUCAGCUUUUUUUGUAUUGGAUCUCGCUUGAUUGAAUAGCACUGGAGCUGCCAGAGUAAAUGCUAUUAUCAGUGUACAGUAAUUAAGGAAAUAGUCCUUGUCACUCUAACAGUGUCCAGGCUGUGUCUACUGUAACAAAGUUAAUGGUAAAGAAAUCUCUUUAAAGAGUAAGCUACUGGAGUGUGGUUACUUUUGACAUGCGGUGAAACUAUGCAGUGUUGAAUUAUAGGUUAUAAGAAAAUGUAUAAAAUAGGCCAAUUGAAACCUAAAUGCAUGCUGAACUGUAAUACAUAAUUACACAACAAAUUAAACAGUUAACCUACUGACUCAGAGCCAGUUGAUUGACUCUGAAUCCCCAUCCCCCCCAAAAAGAGACUCUUCUGUCAUUCAGAAACCUCAAGAUCUUUGCAGCACAGGGAAAAGCCAAUGUAAAUGGUGAACCACACAGCAUAGCAACAGAGUCAAUACAUCUGGGCCCUUUCUAACCAACUUGGGGAGUGAAUUUAAGUAUGGAGGACUCCCUCCAAUUAACAGCUUGCACCCAAAUUCCCUCCCACUUAAAACUGCAGACUCUUAGUCUAAGUGCUUCUACUGAUCACACUUGUUGUGAUUGGACAUGGAGAGGGGCAGAGUCCCUAAGUAGUGAGGACAAACCAUUUAGGACCUCCUAGAUUAAAACCAGCCCCUUCAGUUGCACCUGUAAAUAAAACUAUGGCACAAUAGUGUCAUUCUCAUUGUGAGAAAUGCCACUUAAUACCUGAAGUUUCCAAGUGAUCAGUAGAGCUCAUUGCAGUAAGAUACGAUGGAGGUGACAAAGGCAUUAAUAACUAUGACAAGGUCUGCAUUUGUGAAGAAAGAUUAUGGUGUCUUGCCAGGUUGAAAUACAUGCAGAAAAUGCGAGGUUUAAGCAGGUUAUAACCAGGCAAAGUGUUAAUUUUAAUCAAGAAGUGUGGUGGGAAACAUUGUCCUGAGUAUAAAUACCUGCAUUUCAAAAACCACCUCCCUCCCGCCCCCGAGUCUGUAGAGUAGUUCUACAAAUUGAUGUAAUGGGAAAGGAGAACAAGUCAUAACUAUGCACCAGAGUCCAAAGGGUGGCUGCUAAUGCAGUACACCGGUACCUGUAAGAAGCAGUAGAGUAGCCAAAGCUCAUGUAUGUCUUUUCUUUUUCUUGACCUCAUAUCUGUGCAAUAGGUGUGUGGUAGUACAUUUUCACAUGUUAUUAAAACACCUGAUUGCUUUA